UUUUUUAUGAUGAAAAUAAAAAAGAAAAGCUGAUAAAAAGUUGAUGAUUUUUAUGCUAUUUCACCAAGAUCUAUGAACAU
rfam:Plasmodium falciparum NF54 unplaced genomic scaffold supercont1.295, whole genome shotgun sequence.